UAAAUAAAAUAAAUUUAAACAAUUCCAUUAUAAAUAAUCAAACAAUAGAAAUAGAAAAUAUGCAUAUGAAUUUUAAACAAUUAGAAGAAGAAUUAAGAAAUAAAGACAACGAAUUAAAAAGAUUACAUGAAAUUAUUUUACAAAAAGAAGAAGAAAAUCAAAAAGUUGUCAAAAAUAUGAAUCGUCUAAAAUUCGAUAUUGAUGUAAAAAAUGUUGAUAUAAAAAACACAGAACAAAAAAUAAUAAAUAUUAAAAAAGAAUAUUCCAUUCUUUUAAAAAAAACAAAAAGAACGAUAUGUAGAUAUAAUUAAUGAAAUAUAUAAAAAAAAAUGAAGAGGUUAUUAAAAGUCAUGAGGAUAAAUUGGUACAGACCAAUGCAAAAUACGACGAGAUAAUUGCCGCAAAUGAGGAGCUCAAAAAAGGAGAUUAACGCCCUCAAGGACGAGCUUUUAAAAAGAUCCUGCGAAAACGAAGGUCUUCAAGACACUUUGAUAGACUACGAAUCAAAAUUGUUAAUAUAUGAAAAUAACAAUGAAGUGAAAAUAUUAAAAAAAAAUGAAAAUCAUUACAAAAAAUUAUUAAAUAAACAUAUUCUAAAAAAUGAAGAAUUAAUUAAUACAACUUUUCUUUUACAAAAAUCAACAUUGGAAAAUAAUAAUUUAGAAAAACAAAUAAUCGAAUUAAAAGCUAAAAGUUAUGUGAAAGACCAAGAAAUAAAAAAGUUACUCGAAACGAAUAAAAAAAAAAAAAAAAAAAAAUAAUAAUAAUAAUGUCAAUAAUAAUGUCAAUAAUAAUUGUAAUGUUAUUAUAGCUAUGGAAAAAAACAAUAACGCUAUACUCGACAAUAUAAGUGAUGCGGAUAUGGACAUAACUAAUUAUAAUCAUGCUUUACUUCAAAGCGAUUCUAUUUCUGUAUUAAAAAAAGAGAAUGAUCGAUUAAGCCAGUCAGGUAUGUUUAAUAACAUAAACAAAAUUGAUAAAAUUGGUAAUGGUGAUAUAUGUGAAGAAUUAAAUGAAAUACUUAGUUAUAAAAAAAGGACCCAAAAGUCUUGACACUAUUGACUUAUUCGAAUCAAGUGAAAACGAAUUACUUAAAACUAAAAAUCCGUACGAAAAUAAAUUUUUUAAGGAUGACCCA
rnacentral:lncRNA from 1 species